UACAGAGGUGGCAAGCGUUGUUCGGAAUUACUGGGCGUAAAGGGCGCGUAGGCGGCCCCGUAAGUCCCGCGUGAAAGCCCUCGGCUCAACCGAGGAACUGCGCGGGAGACUGCAGGGCUUGAGUUCGGGAGAGGGAAGUGGAAUUCCGGGUGUAGCGGUGAAAUGCGCAGAUAUCCGGAGGAACACCAGUGGCGAAGGCGGCUUCCUGGACCGACACUGACGCUGAGGCGCGAAAGCUAGGGGAGCAAACGGG
rnacentral:rRNA from 1 species